UAUUAGAGUUUGAUCAUGGCUCAGAACGAACGCUGGCGGCAGGCUUAACACAUGCAAGUCGAACGGGCGUCGCAAGACGUCAGUGGCAGACGGGUGAGUAACGCGUGGGAACAUACCCUCCGGUUCGGAAUAACUCAGGGAAACUUGAGCUAAUACCGGAUACGGCCUGGCGGCGAAAGAUUGAUCGCCGGAGGAUUGGCCCGCGUCCGAUUAGCUUGUUGGCGGGGUAACGGCCCACCAAGGCGACGAUCGGUAGCUGGUCUGAGAGGAUGAUCAGCCACAUUGGGACUGAAACACGGCCCAAACUCCUACGGGAGGCAGCAGUGGGGAAUAUUGGACAAUGGGCGCAAGCCUGAUCCAGCCAUGCCGCGUGAGUGAUGACGGCCUUAGGGUUGUAAAGCUCUUUCGCUCGGGACGAUAAUGACGGUACCGCAAGAAUAAGCCCCGGCUAACUUCGUGCCAGCAGCCGCGGUA
rnacentral:rRNA from 1 species